rnacentral:lncRNA from 1 species
AUGUGUCCCCAAAUCUUCCAGUUGUGCCUGCCUGGCAAGGGACACUCAGGGUGCUGGUACCUCAGGGUGGGGACAGGGGGGCAUUUCACCCCCCAGCAGAUGGGAGGGUGCCCCACUGCCCCACCUGCCCCUGCCCAGCCUGCCCCCCCCGCAGAUGCCUUUGCGUGGGGGCUGGAGGCAGGCAGGGAGGGGGGUGGGAAUACUGGCUGGAGCGAGUCUGAACCUGGCAUCUGUCGAAUGUCACCUUACCCAGACAGUCUGUGCUUCCCUGUCUCCAUAUCAACCGUUCUGCUCCAGCCACCUGCGGGGGGGUGGCAGGGAGCGUCUUUGGGAGGAGGAGAUCUCGCUGCUCCCCUCACUCCCUGCAGCCUCCCUUUCCCUCCCUGCUGCCCCCCGCGUGCCAGACCCUGGGCUGUAAAUCAUGGGCGAUGCUCCUCCAGCCUGGCAGCUGGGGGUGACCCCGGUGCCCGAGGCUUCGUGACCCCACAUCACACUGUCUGGCUUCACCUUGCCUCAGUUUCCCUUCCCCAGUGCAGCUGCGGCACAGGAGGGGUGCUGGGGCCUGUUCCACCCCAGCCGCGGCGGGGAGGGCCUCUUCCAGGAGCUCGGCAUUCUUCCCUGGACUUGUCCCUCUUCCCUGCGACCAGAUGUUCUCACCCUCCUCCCUGCAGCAGGGUCCCGGCCAGAGCCGGCACAGCAGCAGCCUGCCCCGCACCUGGACAGCGCCGGGGGGCAGGGACAAGGACACGGCACAGCCGGGGGGCAGGGACAAGGGACACGGCACAGCGUCCUCCCUGGCUGUGUCCCGGCUCCCAGGGCACGGCUGGGAGGAAGGGCCAGCCCUUCCCGCCCCAGUUGAGCUGCGGCAGCACCGAAGGCAGUGGGGAGCUGAGCCCAGUGUGGGACAGGGGGUGGUGCCAUCAGGGCUUGGUGUUGUGGGGAUGCUGGAGCCUUUUGCGGGGUGCUGGAAUGUUUGGGAGAUGCUGGAGCUUUUGGGGUGAGCAUGCUGGACUAUUUGGGCAGAUGCUGGAGCACUUACAGAGACACUGGAGCAUUUGUCAUGGGGGUGCUGGAGCGUGUGGGGGAUGCUGGAACACUCGGGAUGCUGGAGUGCUUGGGGUAGGGAUACGGAAGUAUUGGAUGGAUGCUGGAGGACUUGGAGAAGUGCUGGAGCAUUGA